UACGUAGGGGGCGAGCGUUGUCCGGAUUUAUUGGGCGUAAAGAGCGUGUAGGCGGUUCGGUAAGUCUGUCGUGAAAUCCUGAGGCUCAACCUCGGGCGUGCGAUGGAUACUGCCGGGCUAGAGGAUGGUAGAGGCGAGUGGAAUUCCCGGUGUAGCGGUGAAAUGCGCAGAUAUCGGGAGGAACACCAAUGGCGAAGGCAGCUCGCUGGGACGUUACGUGACGCUGAGACGCGAAAGCGUGGGGAGCAAACAGG
rnacentral:rRNA from 1 species